UCCAAAUUGGUGUAAUGGAUAACAUUUGACUUUCCGAAAGUUGAGAAGCUCCGGAAGUGUUGAGCUCAGGGUUCGAUUCCCUGAUAUGGAU